UUUACAAAUAGCUCGGUAUGUUGUUGGAUCUUUCAUUGCUGAUAUUGUGCCAUAUUUUUGCUGAAUAUGCAGUUGGUUCUAAAAAA